rnacentral:lncRNA from 1 species
ACCACGCUUCAGUGCUUUUUGGAAAAAGUGGAAAACAGCGGGGCGGCUGGAAGACAAACAUUUUAUGUGAACGUUUGGUUUUCUUGAUAAUCAGAGCAACCUCCGUGUGCCUUACUUGAAGUAACUCUAGCGAGUUUUGCUAUGUCCCUAGGACGGCAUAGCGUACACAACGCAUCAUGAAGUAUGGAUGCGAUUCUGGCACCAACUGUUCCGUUCCUGCUUUCACCAGAAGCUUUGCGUCUUUAAGCUUCCUUUCAUUAGAAUUUGGAUCCAAGUUUGUGGGGAAGACUGUGAAUUCAAUGGAAAGUGUCCUUUUUUUUUUUUUUUUUAAUUUAAGAACUACUUCACCUUAAAUCCCACUUCUCUAAUAAAAUAACUUUUACUGUA